UACGUAGGGUGCGAGCGUUAAUCGGAAUUACUGGGCGUAAAGCGUGCGUAGGCGGUUUGUUGCGUCGGUUGUGAAAGCCCCGGGCUUAACCUGGGAAUGGCCAUGGAAACUGGCGGACUGGAGUGUGGUAGAGGGGGGUGGAAUUCCGCGUGUAGCAGUGAAAUGCGUAGAGAUGCGGAGGAACACCGAUGGCGAAGGCAGCCCCCUGGGCUAGCACUGACGCUCAGGCACGAAAGCGUGGGGAGCAAACAGG
rnacentral:rRNA from 1 species